AUACGGAGGGUGCGAGCGUUAAUCGUAAUUACUGGGCGUAAAGGGUGCGUAGGCGGCUUGAUAAGUCGGAUGUGAAAGCCCCGGGCUUAACCUGGGAAUUGCAUUCGAUACUGUCAGGCUAGAGUAUGUCAGAGGUUGGCGGAAUUCCUAGUGUAGCGGUGAAAUGCGUAGAUAUCAGGAGGAACACCAGUGGCGAAGGCGGCUAACUGGGGCAAUACUGACGCUGAGGCACGAAAGCGUGGGGAGCAAACAGGAUUAGAACCCCUAGUAGUCC
rnacentral:rRNA from 1 species